rnacentral:rRNA from 1 species
CGUGGGACGUGCCUUUCGGUUCGGAAUAACUCAGGGAAACUUGAGCUAAUACCGGAUACGCCCUUUGGGGGAAAGAUUUAUUGCCGAAAGAUCGGCCCGCGUCCGAUUAGCUAGUUGGUGUGGUAAUGGCGCACCAAGGCGACGAUCGGUAGCUGGUCUGAGAGGAUGAUCAGCCACACUGGGACUGAGACACGGCCCAGACUCCUACGGGAGGCAGCAGUGGGGAAUAUUGGACAAUGGGCGCAAGCCUGAUCCAGCCAUGCCGCGUGAGUGAUGAAGGCCCUAAGGUUGUAAAGCUCUUUCGCCAGGGACGAUAAUGACGGUACCUGGAUAAGAAGCCCCGGAUAACUUCGUGCCAGCAGCCGCGGUAAUACGAAGGGGGCUAGCGUUGUACGGAAUCACUGGGCGUAAAGCGCACGUAGGCGGAUCUUUAAGU